CCUACGGGUGGCAGCAGUAGGGAAUAUUGCUCAAUGGGGGAAACCCUGAAGCAGCAACGCCGCGUGGAGGAUGAAGGUUUUCGGAUUGUAAACUUCUUUUGGUAGAGGAGAUAAUGACGGUAUCUAACGAAUAAGCACUGGCUAAUUCCGUGCCAGCAGCCGCGGUAAUACGGAGGGUGCAAGCGUUACUCGGAAUGACUGGGCGUAAAGAGCGCGUAGGCGGGAUAGCAAGUCAGUGGUGAAAUCCUAGGGCUUAACCAUAGAACUGCAUUUGAAACUGUCAUUCUAGAGUAUGGGAGAGGUAGGUGGAAUUCGUGGUGUAGGGGUGAAAUCCGUAGAGAUCAAGAGGAAUACUCAUUGCGAAGGCGACCUGCUAGAACAUAACUGACGCUGAUGCGCGAAAGCGUGGGGAGCAAACAGGAUUAGAUACCCUUGUAGUC
rnacentral:rRNA from 1 species